rnacentral:snRNA from 1 species
UCUACGAGUCGGGUUGUUUGG